rnacentral:lncRNA from 1 species
GUUCUACUGAUGUCGUGCACCUCAUCUAACAGUUAUUGGUAACACGAAUAAAAAUAUCGAUGUGUGGACAACUCUUUGCCCAGAUACUUCUUUAAGCAUAUUGCAGUCACUUGAUCUUUAAGUCAUGUGAGCUCACCUAAUAGUUUUGCUUAUACUUAAUUAAGCCAGAUCCACCGUUCACAAACAAGUGCAAAAUCAUCAUUGGAUCCCUCACCUAACAGUUAUUGGGCCUAACCCUAUCUUUACCCCACAGUAACUCUUUGCUAAUAGAGUGGUUGUGUGUUUUCGAUGUAACUGAACCACUGUAACCAACUGAG